rnacentral:rRNA from 1 species
UCAAUGACUGGAACUUACGCUCCUGCCAGGUUUGACCAAUUCUCCCUUGGAUCCAGACUUUGAUCAUGGCUCAGGAUGAACGCUAGCUACAGGCCUAACACAUGCAAGUCGAGGGGAAACGGCAGCUUAGCUUGCCAAGCUGGACGUCGACCCGGCGCACGGGUGAGUAACGCGUAUCCAACCUGCCCCACGGUGAGGGAUAACCCGCGGAAACGCGGCCUAAUACCUCAUGGUCUCCGAGUUUGCCAUCAACCUUUGGAGUAAAGAUUCAUUGCCGUGGGAUGGGGAUGCGUCUGAUUAGCUUGUUGGCGGGGCAGCGGCCCACCAAGGCAACGAUCAGUAGGGGUUCUGAGAGGAAAGCCCCCCACAUUGGAACUGAGACACGGUCCAAACUCCUACGGGAGGCAGCAGUGAGGAAUAUUGGUCAAUGGGCGAGAGCCUGAACCAGCCAAGUAGCGUGCAGGAAGACGGCCCUAUGGGUUGUAAACUGCUUUUAUGCGGGGAUAAAGGGGGCGACGUGUCGCCCUUUGCAGGUACCGCAUGAAUAAGGACCGGCUAAUUCCGUGCCAGCAGCCGCGGUAAUACGGAAGGUCCAGGCGUUAUCCGGAUUUAUUGGGUUUAAAGGGAGCGCAGGCCGGGUAUUAAGCGUGUUGUGAAAUGUAGGCGCCCAACGUCUGCACCGCAGCGCGAACUGGUGCCCUUGAGUACGCACGACGUUGGCGGAAUUCGCCGUGUAGCGGUGAAAUGCUUAGAUAUGGCGAAGAACUCCGAUUGCGAAGGCAGCUGACGGGAGCGCUACUGACGCUCAUGCUCGAAAGCGCGGGUAUCGAACAGGAUUAGAUACCCUGGGUAGUCCGCGCGGUAAACGAUGGAUGCCCGCUAUUUGCGCGUUAGCGCAA